rnacentral:misc_RNA from 1 species
GAUGAAGAACGUAGCGAAAUGCGAUAAGUAAUGUGAAUUGCAGAAUUCAGUGAAUCAUCGAAUCUUUGAACGCACAUUGCGCCCGCCAGUAUUCUGGCGGGCAUGCCUGUUCGAGCGUCAUUUCAACCAUCAAGCCCCCGGCUUGUGUUGGGGACCUGCGGCUGCCGCAGGCCCUGAAAACCAGUGGCGGGCUCGCUGUCACACCGAGCGUAGUAGAUUUUCAUCUCGCUCAGGGCGUGCUGCGGGUUCCGGCCGUAAAAAGCCUUAUUUACCCAAGGCUGACCUCGGAUCAGGUAGGAAGACCCGCUGAACUUAAGCAUAUCAAUAAGCGGAGGA